rnacentral:rRNA from 1 species
GAGCGUUUGAUCCUGGCUCAGGACGAACGCUGGCGGCGUGCUUAACACAUGCAAGUCAAGCGAUGAAAUCCCUUCGGGGAUGGAUUAGCGGCGGACGGGUGAGUAACACGUGGGCAACCUGCCUCAAAGUGGGGGAUAGCCUUCCGAAAGGAAGAUUAAUACCGCAUAACAUUAGUUUUUUACAUGAAUUACUAAUUAAAGGAGUAAUCCGCUUUGAGAUGGGCCCGCGGCGCAUUAGCUAGUUGGUGAGGUAACGGCUCACCAAGGCCACGAUGCGUAGCCGACCUGAGAGGGUAAUCGGCCACAUUGGAACUGAGACACGGUCCAGACUCCUACGGGAGGCAGCAGUGGGGAAUAUUGCACAAUGGGCGAAAGCCUGAUGCAGCAACGCCGCGUGAGUGAUGAAGGC